rnacentral:misc_RNA from 1 species
GUAUUUUAGAAGAGAAGCUUCAUGAAGUGGUUAUGAAGAAGAGAGGUCUGCUAACUAAACUUGAGAAGACUGCCGUGGAGGCAAGAACUCAACAACAGAGUGAACUGGAGCGCAUUGCAUUGGAUAAACUUGUUGGGACUGCUUACCAGAAAUACAUGGCUUGUUCGGGCCCUAACACAAACAAAAACGCCAAACUUGUUGCCCUGGCUCUUGUCAGACGG